rnacentral:rRNA from 1 species
UACGGAGGGUCCAAGCGUUAUCCGGAAUCAUUGGGCGUAAAGAGCUCGUAGGCGGUGUGUCGCGUCGGCCGUGAAAACCUGCAGCUUAACUGUGGGCGUGCGGUCGAUACGGGCAUCACUGGAGUUCGGCAGGGGAGACUGGAAUUCCUGGUGUAGCGGUGAAAUGCGCAGAUAUCAGGAGGAACACCGGUGGCGAAGGCGGGUCUCUGGGCCGAUACUGACGCUGAGGAGCGAAAGCGUGGGGAGCGAACAGG